rnacentral:rRNA from 1 species
CUACGGGUCGCUGCAGUGAGGAAUAUUGGUCAAUGGGCGCAAGCCUGAACCAGCCAAUCCGCGUGCAGGAUGAAUGCCCUAUGGGUUGUAAACUGCUUUUAUACAGGAAGAAUCCUUCAUACGUGUAUGGAGCUGACUGUACUGUAAGAAUAAGCAUCGGCUAACUCCGUGCCAGCAGCCGCGGUAAUACGGAGGAUGCGAGCGUUAUCCGGAUUUAUUAGGUCUAAAGGGUGCGUAGGCGGAUAAUUAAGUCAGUGGUGAAAUCCUGCAGCUUAACUGUAGAACUGCCAUUGAUACUGGUUGUCUUGAGUUUAGUUGAGGUAAGCGGAAUGUGUAGUGUAGCGGUGAAAUGCUUAGAUAUUACACAGAACACCGAUUGCGAAGGCAGCUUACUAAGCUACAACUGACGCUGAGGCACGAAAGCGUGGGGAGCGAACAGGAUUAGAUACCCUCGUAGUC